rnacentral:rRNA from 1 species
CCUACGGGAGGCAGCAGUGGGGAAUAUUGGACAAUGGGCGAAAGCCUGAUCCAGCCAUGCCGCGUGUGUGAAGAAGGCCUUCGGGUUGUAAAGCACUUUCAGUGGGGAAGAAAGCCUUGGGGCUAAUACCCUCGAGGAAGGACAUCACCCACAGAAGAAGCACCGGCUAACUCCGUGCUAGCAGCCGCGGUAAUACGGAGGGUGCGAGCGUUAAUCGGAAUUACUGGGCGUAAAGCGCGCGUAGGCGGUCUGAUAAGCCGGUUGUGAAAGCCCCGGGCUCAACCUGGGAACGGCAUCCGGAACUGUCAGGCUAGAGUGCAGGAGAGGAAGGUAGAAUUCCCGGUGUAGCGGUGAAAUGCGUAGAGAUCGGGAGGAAUACCAGUGGCGAAGGCGGCCUUCUGGACUGACACUGACGCUGAGGUGCGAAAGCGUGGGUAGCAAACAGGAUUAGAUACCCGUGUAGUC